GAUCUGCUCUUCGGGUGCUAACUGACUCCAGUGUACUGCGUUAUAUGAAGUAUUCUUCAGACCUGCCACAAGCUGUCGCUUAUGGCGGAGCGAUUGUGCCGUGUAUUUAUACACUGCACAGGGUUGAAUCUCUGGUACGGUUUCAUAUAUACUUAUCCCGUAUUCUGUGAGGCCCCCAUUAUUUUUCUGCGUUCCGCCAAGUUCGAGGAAAAAUAGUGGGGGUUUUCCUUUAUGGUCUUCUGAAACUUUUUUCAGCCUUCCGGCACCGGCAAACUGCCGUCGUUUCUGCCAUACGUCCUGAAUGCCUUAUGGCGCAUUCUGCCGUUUUCUGGCUUUCCGGACCGCGAGGAUCCCAAAAGCCACUGAAU
rnacentral:misc_RNA from 1 species